rnacentral:misc_RNA from 1 species
GAUGAAGAACGUAGCGAAAUGCGAUAAGUAACGUGAAUUGCAGAAUUCAGUGAAUCAUCGAAUCUUUGAACGCACCUUGCACCCUUUGGCAUUCUGAAGGGUAUGCUCGUUUGAGUGUCAUUGUACUCUCACACUCCCGAUCUUUGCAUUGGGAGCAGUGGACUUGGGUUUGCUGCUUCACCGUCGCUUACCUCAAAUAGGUUAGUGCAACUCUUGGUUGGACAUAGUACGGCGUGAUAAGUGUUCUUCGCCGGUGCCUCGCAAAGAGGGUGGCCGAUCGGGAUGUUGUGCUCCAAACCGUCUUCGGACAAUCUCUGACGACUUGACCUCAAAUCGAGUAAGACUACCCGCUGAACUUAAGCAUAUCAAUAAGCGGAGGA